ACUUCAGGGAUUGGUGAAAUUCCAUACCGGUGGUAAAGCCCACGAGCCAGUAAUAUGGUUGAUUUGGUGAAAUUCCAGAGCCGACGGUAAAGUCCGGAUGAUAGAAG
rnacentral:ncRNA from 1 species